GCGGAGGAAAAGAAACUAACAAGGAUUCCCCUAGUAACUGCGAGUGAAGCGGGAAAAGCUCAAAUUUAAAAUCUGGUGGUCUUUGGCCAUCCGAGUUGUAAUUUAGAGAAGCGUCUUCCGCGCUGGAC
rnacentral:rRNA from 1 species